CCUACGGGCGGCAGCAGUGAGGAAUAUUGGUCAAUGGGAGAGAUCCUGAACCAGCCAAGCCGCGUGAGGGAAGACGGCCCUAUGGGUUGUAAACCUCUUUUGUCGGAGAACAAAACCCGGGACGUGUCCCGGACUGCGUGUAUCCGAAGAAAAAGCAUCGGCUAACUCCGUGCCAGCAGCCGCGGUAAUACGGAGGCUGCGAGCGUUAUCCGGUUUUCUUGGGUUUAAAGGGUGCGUAGGCGGUCCGUUAAGUCAGCGGUAAAAUGGCGGGGCGCAACCCUGUCGAGCCGUUGAAACUGGCAGACUUGAGGUGGGGAGAAGUACGCGGAAUGCGCGGUGUAGCGGUGAAAUGCAUAGAUAUCGCGCAGAACUCCGAUUGCGAAGGCAGCGUACCGGCGCCAGACUGACGCUGAGGCACGAAAGCGUGGGGAUCGAACAGGAUUAGAUACCCGAGUAGUC
rnacentral:rRNA from 1 species